CCUGGCGUUCGCCAGGAGCCUCCGGGUCUGCUGCAGGGCUUUGAUCUCCGAGGAGGCGGCGGUAGCUUCGCCCGGCCGUUUCCUAGGCGACGCGGAGGAAUCCGGGUGGUUAUUGUAAAUUACGUGUGAAAUUGACGAGACAGUCUGCUCCCGAGCACGUGGCUUCUGGACCCUUGGGCCCUUCCCCAAAUGGAGCUAGGCCUUCUUCUCUCGGUGACCUUCCGCACCCAGCACCUCCACGUCCAGCCCUCCCCCCAACCGUACCCCAGCUUGCCAGGCGAGAAAGAAACUGUAUGGCGACUUCUUCUGGAAGAGGGGAAUUGGUCCCAGCAUGAUAAAGUGAUUGCUUCCUGAGGCAUCCACUUCCCUGGACACCCAGCAUCUUCCCAUACCUUACCUCUCUCCUGAAGACCAAGGGGGCUGCCAGUAGUCCUCUCCACCUGCAAGCAUGCAGACAGGGGUAUGUUCCUCCAUCCUAGGAAUCUGGACUGCCUUGGCUAAUGGAGGCCUGCUGGAGUAGAAGUGAUGCUGUGCUUUUAAGGCUGUUUCAGCUUCCUGCCGACGGGAGCCCUGAGUCACCAUGUGAGGGGUCCAGGUUACUGUGUUGCCGGGAGAGGCCUCAUGGGAAGCCCCAUGGUGCCUGCCAGAUCUGUGAUGGAGGAAGGGACCCAAACACCUGCCUUCAGAUGCUUCUGGCCUCAGCCUCUAUCUCUCUGGAACCACAUGGAGAACCUGAGUGAGAACUGCCCAGUUGAGCCCAGUCAACCUCCAGAACCAUGGAAACGUAUCCCGAAUUGUCGUGUUAAGCCACUGCAUUUUGGGGUGAUUUGUUAUGCAAGCAAUAGAGAACUGAAACAUUCCAGUAGGAACAAAGGAGAACAACUUUCAAUUCCCCAAGGAUCACAUUCCUUCAUUGUGAAGUAUUCCCUACCCAUCUCCCCCAUUCCCUCAGAAAAGAAA